ACACUUCCCUAGCAGUGGGGAAUACCACGAUGAUGACGAUGGUUUCCCCAAGGCUCAGCUUGUCCACUGCACUGCGGACAUGCUGAUUCCUAUGAUUUUCCUCAAAUGGGGAAACCCCAGUGCAUAAUUUGUGAAAAUGAGGCAUUGUAUUUACCCUCUCCCAUA